AUUGAACGCUGGCGGCAGGCCUAACACAUGCAAGUCGACCUUAGUGGCGGACGGGUGAGUAAUGCCUAGGAAUAUGCCGGGUAGUGGGGGCUAACGUCCGGAAACGGGCGCUAAUACCGCAUACUAUCAGAUGAGCCUCGGUCGGAUUAGCUAGUUGGGGGGGUACAGGCCUACCAAGGCGACGAUCCGUAGCUGGUCUGAGAGGAUGACCAGUCACACUGGAACUGAGACACGGUCCAGACUCCUACGUGAGGCAGCAGUGGGGAAUAUUGGACAAUGGGCGAAAGCCUGAUCCAGCCAUGCCGCGUGUGUGAAGAAGGUCUUCGGAUUGUAAAGCACUUUAAGUUGGGAGGCGUUACCAACAGAAUAAGCACCGGCUAACUCCGUGCCAGCCGCCGCGGUAAUUC
rnacentral:rRNA from 1 species